UAGCACCUCUGAAGGUUUAGGUGACUUACCUCGUGGAGUGACAGAUUCUUAAAACUGAUGAGUUCCAGUUCCUGUUUAUCAUGUCCUUCUCGGGCUGCCCCUGCUGCUCUUGUCCAUUUGCCAUCAAAAUUGCACAGGUAACGUCACCUGCAAUAUUCCAAACCAAUGAAGAAAGCCCCAUCUGAGAAUAUUCUUCCUACCCCCUAUCAGCAC